CUGAGGGACAAGACCAGCUUAAUUGUAUCUUACAUGAUGAAGGCUGGAUUCCAUCACUUGAUGCCUGUACGGUUUGGUGGGAGCUGAACGUUCAUUCGGUUGGAAAUGUUUUAGAGCCACUUUUGCAAAAGGAGACCGAUUGAAAAUUGCACUGAGCUGUAGGACAUCUUUCUCUUCUAUCAGACACCUGGGAUGCAGGAGCAAGUUUAUGCCAUCCAUUGCUUUGCUGACUCCUGACAGCGGGUAAGUAGAAGAAAGGAUGAUGUGUGUCAACCUUCUUAUCUCUGAAAUGUAAUUACAACAAGCGUCUUUUUUUUCAACAAUUUACUGCAUGUGCCUCUUUGCACUCUCCACCUCGC